rnacentral:rRNA from 1 species
UCCUCAUUCCGAUUGAUCCCGUCGGACCCCACUGCUAUCGAGGUGGGACUAAGCCAUGCUAGUUGAGCGCACAGAACUAUGUCUGUGAGCGGCACACUGCUCAGUAACACGUAGCUAACCUACCCUUAGGACGUGGACACCCCCGAGAAAUUGGGGCUAAUCCACGAUAGAUGUAUUGUCCUGGAAUGGUAUUACGUCCAAAGGUAUCCCAUACAUGUUUGGUAUACGCCUAAGGAUGGGGCUGCGGCCGAUCAGGCUGUUGGUGAGGUAAUGG